rnacentral:sRNA from 1 species
GGAUCUGUUUGAAAAGUAUGUAGACACACCAAACGAAGAUUCAAUUCCAUCUACUUCUGAUGAUGUUAGAACUGUCAAUGCCGAUGUCAGAAUUUACUAUUCUCAAAUUCUCGGAG